UUAUUAUGUUGUUAUGAACUGUUGUUGGCUAUUGGUGUUGGACUCUGACCUUUGUCCCAGCUCAUCACUACUUUCAACCAAAGGUUAGGUUUGUUACUUAUUGAGUACAUGAGGUCGGUUGUACUCAUACUACACUUCUGCACCUUACGUGCAGAUUUUGGAUGCUGAUGUUGCUGUGCACGACGAGAGCUGGAUUUGAAGAUGUACUUGUGUUCCGGUUAUAGCUGCCUCUUGAUCUUGGUAGCUUUUAAAAUUUAUUCUGUUCAUGUAUAUUUCAAACAGAUGAUGUACUUUAUUUCAUACCGGCUUUAUAAAUUCUAAAUCUUAGAAGCUCAUGAUUUGUACUACCAGUCCUUGGGAAAUUUUUGUAUAAAAGCGGUGCAUUAUCAUUUCUUA
rnacentral:lncRNA from 1 species